UCGGGGACUUAGCUGCGAUCCAGAAUCGCCUAAACACCCGCAUGCCUCCGACUGUAUCCUACAGGUACACUCAGGAACUCAACAGACCCUCAUUGAGGCUCAUGUGGAGGUCAAAACAACUGACAACUACAUGAGUAGCAGACCCUCAUUGAGGCUCAUGUGGAUGUCAAAACAACUGACAACUACAUGAGUUGCAGACCCUCAUUGAGGUUUAUGUGGAUGUCAAAACAACUGACAACUACAUGAGUUGCAGACCCUCAUUGAGGCUCAUGUGGACGUCAAAACAACU
rnacentral:lncRNA from 1 species